GGUUUUUACAGAAAAGCAGGUUGAUUUUAUUUAGUUAAUAAAUUUUUUGGUAGUUUGUAUGAUAUUUUAUUUAUUUUUACCCAAAUGUUUUCCUUUUUAUCCACCCGCCCAGUAGGUGACGGAAUGCACAUUUAAUUGUUGUGAACGCCAUUAUACCAUAGAAGAAGGAGGAGGAGGAGGAGGGGGACAGCGACAUCAACAUCUGGUCAUUCAUUGAUUUUCAUUCUGGUCAGAGAGAGUUGUUGUGAUUUCUCCUCUCUGUGUGUAAACUUUUUCAUUUUCUCCUCUCAUGAUGCUGACGACUCGGUAGAGAAUAUGCCUCUCAGAAUACCUGAUUCCAGACCACGAGACUGAUGUACUUUGUGAAAAUCCAGGUUGGUGAAAUGUCAAGACACUGGCUUCAUUUGAAAUGGUACUCUACUUCCCUUUAUAGUGCACUACCAUAGACCAGGACCCGUGCACUGUAAAGGGAAUAGGGUGUGACUUUGGAUGCAGACUCUUUCACUAUCCCCUUUUGGCUGGCCAACU
rnacentral:lncRNA from 8 species